ACACCUCUGAAGAAACUGAAGAGUGAGCCUUUUUCCAAUGAUUAGGGAGGGAAACCUCCCCGGUUCCAUUGCAUCAAUGAAAUAUUCGGUUAGUAGGAUUGCAAAAGGCACUUCUCAUGGUAUGAAUACAUGACAGAAUUCUCUGUUCUGAUUUCGUAUCUGCAUGUCCGUUACUCAAGCGAGAACAAAUUUGUGUCCUAGUUCCACAAUGUUCAGUUAUGAAAGUCUUCAAGUUGAAGUAUUUCCUCAUAAGUACUAUGGAAUAUUACAAAGGAAUAGUGAAAUAAAUAUCGAGAGAACUGAUUUUGAGUCUUAGAGCUAUAUGAUUGUGCAUCAGUGUUUCAUAUUUUCGUAAUGUAGUUAAGUUUGAUAUUGAAGCUUCACAAGUCUCCAUGGAGUUUUCACGGAGAAGGUAUUCUACGUAUAGAAUGGAGAUUGCACUUACGAAGAAAGGAAGCAACUGCUGUCCCAAUACCCAGAUAUACGAAGUUCAGCACAACCUGGAGAAAGAACAUUCGCUGUGAAUCGGGAAGCUACUCUUCAAGUGAGGUGAUCACUGUAGCCAUUGCGUACCUUGGUCACACGGCGGAGGACGUCGCUGCUGGUGCUCUCGCCGAAGGAGUUGAUGACGUUCCCAAAGAGCACCGAUAUGAGGGGCUCUGACACGCCGUUGCCUAUCGCCCCCAGCGUGCCAACCACCAUCAACAGCACAUCGAUGCGGUCGGCGUACCUGAACAUGCCAAACAACGACACCUUCUUGGCUUCGUCCUUCUCCUGCCGGCCAUCGUUUCCUCGCUCGCCGCUGCCAUGGCGUGCUCCUUCUCCACUACUAUCUGCUGCUACUGUCGCGUCCAUUUCCCGGCAGCUGGCUUCGAUGUGCUGUACGAGCCCGGCCGCAGUGGGUCGCGUGUAGUUCCUGUCCCCGGGGAGUGGUGGAGGCAACUAUUUAUACGCACUCUGCCGGCCUCCCGAAGUGCUUUGAUCAGCAAGGUAUAGUUGCUGGGUGCUUGGAAGCUGGAAGCGACCGGGAAAGUUUGCGAUGAAAAAGAAGCAUACACGAAUGAGCAACAAGUCAAGUGCUACGGGAUUAUUAACAUGUGAUUAUGGGAAGAUUCAGAACUACUAGUACAGGUACAGGUGCAACAAGUCAAGUGCUGCGUGUCUCUAGCUUUCUAUAGAACAGUCAAAUGGGUUGCGUUUCUCUUCUAAUCUCCUCACAUCAUGCGCUAGCUUACCUAGCUGGGCUCUCUAUGGUUCACAAACCAAUUGUUCUUGGUGGGGGAAAUGAGUGGACCGAUAGUAAGCUGAUAUGACUAUCGAAUAUGGAUUAUAAUAAACUUCAAAAAGG